rnacentral:lncRNA from 1 species
GUUUAAGCUUGUUCAUGUUAGAUUGAUCUACAUUGAGCACAAUAAUCAUGAAAAUCACAUAUUAUUUAGAUUGGAUCAAUGGAUAGAAUAUGUAGAAUUAACUAUGACCAAAAAAAAAAAAAAAAAGAUUCCAACUAAACCAAUUCUAGGAUAGUUUGGGGUGGUUGAGCUGUUGUGGGGAGACAUUGAGAUAGAUGUGGAUUCCAUGUGUGUUAAAUUUUGUGUGGAUUGCUUAAGACCAAUGAGAUGAUAAUUAGGUGAAAAUCUUAAGUUAAAGAUCGAUUUUCGAGAAUAAGUGUUUAAUGAGGGGCAUUGCACUAAUCAUUGCAUAGAAGGGAAAAAGCUGCCAUGUUGUGAACCUACCCUAAAAGAGCCCAAUAAGGAAAAUUAUAAACAUAAAAAGAGAUAAGCUAGUGCAUGAAACAGAAUACGCACGGCAAUCUUGAAAAAAAAAAAAAAAAAAAAAAAGCAAGUGCAUGAAACAGAAGACGCACUACAUGCCUUGAUUAAGUCCCAAACACUUAUUUUAGAGAAUUAGACCUUUGAUAAGGGAUUAGUAGCUUAGUUGAUUCUUGGAGGUUGAAUCAGUCAAAAUUAAGGAGAAUCCUCAUUUAUUGAUGUGUUGAGCUACAAUUAGUAAAAUCUAACCAAACUAGAGAUGGUGAGUAAUAGUAUAUAAAUUUAACCAUACACUACACCUUGGGAAAAUAGUUACAAAAUCAAGUUUGAGGGUGUGCAUCCAACGAGCGAAG